CGGGUAGAGUAACACGUAAACAACCUGCCUUCAGGAUGGGGACAACAGACGGAAACGACUGCUAAUACCGAAUAAGUUCCAAGAGCCGCAUGGCCCAUGGAAGAAAAGGUGGCCUCUACCUGUAAGCUAUCGCCUGAAGAGGGGUUUGCGUCUGAUUAGCUGGUUGGAGGGGUAACGGCCCACCAAGGCGACGAUCAGUAGCCGGUCUGAGAGGGUGAACGGUCACAUUGGGACUGAGACACGGCCCAGACUCCUACGGGAGGCAGCAUG
rnacentral:rRNA from 1 species